CUCCACGGCUCUCCGUUUUAACUUCAACUUCCCCGCUGCCCCGGCUUGUAUACUGGCCGACUGACAUCGGAGGAGAUGACGUCACCAGAGACCUGCAGAAAUCUACCAUGGG